GUAGGUGAACCUGCGGAGGGAUCAUUACCGAGCGAGGGCGCCCCGCGCCCGACCUCCCAACCCUCUGUUAACCGUACCGCGUUGCCUCGGGGUGGCCCUCACCGGCGCCCCAGAGGACGUCCAUCAAAACCCUGCGUCUUUGCGUCGGAGUAUUAGUUUGAAUCAAUCAAAACUUUCAACAACGGAUCUCUUGGUUCUG
rnacentral:misc_RNA from 1 species